GCGGGGAUGAGGUGUGGGUAGGGGUGAAAUGCCAAUCGAACCUGGAGAUAGCUGGUUCUCUCCGAAAUAGCUUUAGGGCUAGCCUCAAGGUAAGAGUCUCGGAGGUAGAGCACUGAUUGGACUAGGGCCCUACCGGGUUACCGAAUUCAGUCAAACUCCGAAUGCCGAUGACUUAUCCUUGGGAGUCAGACUGCGAGUGAUAAGAUCCGUAGUCGAAAGGGAAACAGCCCAGACCGCCAGCUAAGGUCCCA
rnacentral:rRNA from 1 species